rnacentral:rRNA from 1 species
GAUGAACGCUGGCGGCGUGCCUAAUACAUGCAAGUCGAGCGAACAGAUGAGGAGCUUGCUCCUCUGACGUUAGCGGCGGACGGGUGAGUAACACGUGGAUAACCUACCUAUAAGACUGGGAUAACUUCGGGAAACCGGAGCUAAUACCGGAUAAUAUAUUGAACCGCAUGGUUCAAUAGUGAAAGACGGUUUUGCUGUCACUUAUAGAUGGAUCCGCGCCGCAUUAGCUAGUUGGUAGGUAACGGCUUACCAAGGCGACGAUGCGUAGCCGACCUGAGAGGGUGAUCGGCCACACUGGAACUGAGACACGGUCCAGACUCCUACGGGAGGCAGCAGUAGGGAAUCUUCCGCAAUGGGCGAAAGCCUGACGGAGCAACGCCGCGUGAGUGAUGAAGGUCUUCGGAUCGUAAAACUCUGUUAUUAGGGAAGAACAAAUGUGUAAGUAACUAUGCACGUCUUGACGGUACCUAAUCAGAAAGCCACGGCUAACUACGU